rnacentral:rRNA from 1 species
UACGUAGGGGGCGAGCGUUGUCCGGAUUUAUUGGGUUUAAAGGGUGCGUAGGCGGGCUAUUAAGUCAGUGGUGAAAGCCCCAAGCUUAACUUGGGAACUGCCAUUGAUACUGAUGGUCUUGAGUACACUUGAGGUGGGCGGAAUGUGUCAUGUAGCGGUGAAAUGCUUAGAUAUGACACAGAACACCGAUUGCGAAGGCAGCUCACUAAAUUGUAACUGACGCUGAGGCACGAAAGCGUGGGGAUCAAACAGG